UACGGAGGAUCCAAGCGUUAUCCGGAUUUAUUGGGUUUAAAGGGUGCGUAGGCGGCCUAUUAAGUCAGUGGUGAAAGCCUGGAGCUCAACUCCAGAACUGCCUUUGAUACUGGGAUUCUUGAGUUCGGAAGAGGUAGGUGGAACUGCGAGUGUAGAGGUGAAAUUCGUAGAUAUUCGCAAGAACACCAGUGGCGAAGGCGGCCUACUGGUCCGAUACUGACGCUGAGGCACGAAAGCGUGGGGAGCAAACAGGG
rnacentral:rRNA from 1 species